rnacentral:misc_RNA from 1 species
GAUGAAGAACGCAGCGAAAUGCGAUACUUGGUGUGAAUUGCAGAAUCCCGUGAACCAUCGAGUCUUUGAACGCAAGUUGCGCCUCAAGCCAUUAGGUUGAGGGCACGUCUGCCUGGGCGUCACAUAUCGUUGCCUGAUGCCAGUUUCCUCGUGAUGGGUGACUGUGCAGGGCGAAUGAUGGCUUCCCGUGAGCAUUGUUGCCUCAUGGUUGGUUGAAAAUUGGGUCCUUGGUAGGGAGCGCCGUGAUAGAUGGUGGUUGAGUGACGAACGAGACCCAAUCAUGUGAGACCCCUACCGAAUUUGGCCUUCAUGACCCACAUGCGUCUUUGGAACGCUCAUGACGAGACCUCAGGUCAGGCGGGGCUACCCGCUGAGUUUAAGCAUAUCAAUAAGCGGAGGA